UGGGGAAUUUUGGACAAUGGGCGAAAGCCUGAUCCAGCAAUGCCGCGUGUGUGAAGAAGGCCUUCGGGUUGUAAAGCACUUUUGUCCGGAAAGAAAUCCUUGGCUCUAAUACAGUCGGGGGAUGACGGUACCGGAAGAAUAAGCACCGGCUAACUACGUGCCAGCAGCCGCGGUAAUACGUAGGGUGCAAGCGUUAAUCGGAAUUACUGGGCGUAAAGCGUGCGCAGGCGGUUUGCUAAGACCGAUGUGAAAUCCCCGGGCUCAACCUGGGAACUGCAUUGGUGACUGGCAGGCUAGAGUAUGGCAGAGGGGGGUAGAAUUCCACGUGUAGCAGUGAAAUGCGUAGAGAUGUGGAGGAAUACCGAUGGCGAAGGCAGCCCCCUGGGCAAGUACUGACGCUCAUGCACGAAAGCGUGGGGAGCAAACNGGAUUAGAUACCCUGGUAGUCCACGCCCUAAANGAUGUCAACUAGUUGUUGGGGAUUCAUUUCCUUAGUAACGUAGCUAACGCGUGAAGUUGACCGCCUGGGGAGUACGGUCGCAAGAUUAAAACUCAAAUAAUUGAC
rnacentral:rRNA from 1 species